GACAGAGGUGGCAAGCGUUGUUCGGUAUCACUGGGCUUAAAGGGUGUGUAGGCGGGAAGUUAAGCGUUGUGUGAAAGCCCCCGGCUUAACCGGGGAACGGCAUGACGAACUGGCUUUCUUGAGGCAGGCAGGGGCGCAUGGAACUCUUGGUGGAGCGGUGAAAUGCGUAGAUAUCAAGAGGAACGCCAGUGGUGAAAACGGUGCGCUGGGCCUGUUCUGACGCUGAGACACGAAAGCGUGGGUAGCGAACGGGAUUAGAUACCCCCGUA
rnacentral:rRNA from 1 species